AGCCAUUGGAGUAGCUUCUUUACAUGGC
rnacentral:piRNA from 1 species